rnacentral:sRNA from 11 species
GUCAGUAACCCAGCCCUAAAGGGACUGGGCUUGCAAGAGUAAUCAAGCAAGCCGUACUGACCAGACCACCCUGAGUUUACUCUCAUGGUAGCCGUUAUUUGAGUCACGACACCCUGGAAUGCGUAGCUAGUUCCCUGCUCUGUC